GGAGAGAUCGGGCAUGACUCCUCCUGAGAGCCACGAUGGAUCUUGCCUCCACAAGCUACAUAUUAUGAGCAAACAAAAUCAUCGUCACAAAUCCGAUUCCUUCCUCCUCCGCACGCACGAAGCCGCCGCCGCCGCUUCUCACCUCGCCGCUAGAUCGGAAUCGAAGUCGUUGCUCAAAUCAAGAGAGAGAGAGAGAGAGAUCAGAUCGAGAUUGAGAUGCCACGAGGAGCGCUGUCGGAGAUGCCAGGCCGUUGCCUUAGGCGGACGAGCCGCCGGCAAGGAAUCCACGUCGGCUGGCUAUCCGUGGCCUCUCAAGCCCUCUCUUAUUCCCCCCUCCCCCACCUCCCACCGCCCGAGCGCCGUCACCUCACCUUCCACAGGCCCCCUCGACCCUCGGCUAGACGCCACGGCCGGGUCGCCACCCCCUCCCACCGCGAGGAAGACGAUGGCAGAGCAAGGCGGCGGCGCUGGGCUGUACGUCGAGCCUCCCUCAGUGGCCUCCGUCCUCCAUACCGAUGCUCCGUCCCCCGUUUCAAUCGGCUCUGCUGCAACUUCGCCUGACGACCGGUGCUCUGCCUUCACCUGCUCUGCUUCGGUCUAGAUCGAUACGGCCCUGAGCUCCACUCCAUGGCCCUCUUCUGCCAAACCCCGUACAAUCUCCUCAAGCCAACUUGCUUGUCAAUGAGCCUAGCACCGCUAGCAAUUCGCAUGGUCUCUCUCUUCUGAAGAUAUGAGUUAACUUUCUGAAGCUAUGCAUACGACAUCAAGUAUUACUUGGAGUUAUGAGGAGCCCAGAAAACGAUUGGCAAUGCAGGAGGGUUAUUCAGUGACUGUUGGUCUCUAAUUUGCUUAUAUAAUAAGGUGGCAUAAUGGGUAUUGUUAUUCCACAACUUCCUCCACAGAACUUAUGCUAUUUCUGAAUCCUGCCAGACUUGAUACUGCAGACUGCAGACCAAUCUUGCCACGCCCCAACCUCUCCCCUCCCAACCUCGUCGUGCCCCCCACACAUAAUGGACUUUGACUCGAAGAAGAGUCCCUGUGAUGUGCGUCUUUGAGUCGUGUCCGAUUAGCAGAUCUUCAGGGGCACGGGUCCAGACAUUGCCGCGCCAUAGAAAGGAACCACUCGACCGGAGGCAAAUACAUUGCAUCACAAGUUGCUCCCGACAUCGCCGUGCCGCAAGUUCCCAACAUCAGCCACCGCAGCACAGUUAUUUGGCUCAUCAUUGUCCACAAGUUUCCGACAUACCUCUAUACAAUCUCACCGCUCUACCAACUCCGCAAGCCACCCGUACUCCAUACGCCGUCGUACAAUCUCGGCGUUCUACCAACAUCGCUGGACCACCGUGCUCUAGCAGAGGUACGCCUAUCUCAUGCCAAUCUAAAGACGGUUAUGUCAUUUUGGGAAAGAUAUUUUAAUUGUUUUCUACUCCAUUGUUAUGUACAAACAUGUUGUGCCACAUGCUUUACGACGUGUCAGAGGGCUUCCAUGAGCUGUAGGGGGUGGUGUUGAUGGUCAGCGGGUGAUGUUUCAGCACAAGUGGUAAACACAUUAAACAUGUAUUAUUAUUUUUCUCCCGUUGCAACGCACGGGCCCUUUUGCUAGUAAUAAUAAAGCACGGAUUGACUCCGUGGGUUCACCGUCACAAUACCUUCUUUCUGUAAAUUUACGCUUUCAGUUUUUUCAUCUAUAUUAUUUUCGAUAUCCGAGGUGGUACUAUUUAUAUGGAAUUUUUAUCCGUCGUUCGUGCGCUAAGAAAAUUUAGUACGUUUCGUUCUUCUUGUUCUUUCUGACGUUCGUAAGCGGCAUGGGCUUCGGGGACACAUCGUCGGCCUGCACUGCCGCCUUCGCAGACCCACGUUUCUCUCCCCGCUUUGUCUGGUUUCCUCUAGAAAAAAGAAACAAUUCAUCCACACCUCGGACUAGAUUCGUUUGGGAGCCGGAGAUUUGCAACAAAAAAAGGGAGCUGGAGAGGAUAAGGUGAAAUCGGCGGCACCGCCGCCGCCGCUAUGGGGCACGAGCAUGGAGGCGGCUGGAAUAGUGUGGUGCCGCCGCCGCUAUGGGGCACGAGCAUGGAGGCGGCUGGAAUAGUGUGGUGCCGCCGCCGCUACGGGGCACGAGCACGGAGGCGGCUGGGAUAGUGUGGUUAGGGAGUUGGGAUAGGAACAGGGGGAGACGAUGGAGGCCUGAGCGGGCGGUGCUGGGCGCCAUGGGGUUCAACAUCUCGCCGGCCUUGACUCGCGCACGUCCCGUUUCGCUCAGGGCACAUCCUGCCUCAGCAGCCACACCUCUCCCUCCAAGCACAGAGCUUGCUGCUCCCACCCCCGUACAAUGAACGGGCAUGCCAAGGAGAGGAGCUCCAUGCGUAUGGGAGGCCAGCCGCUCCCCAGCUUCAGAUCUGACCAACGUGGGAGGAAUUGUUGGAGCACAACCAAAUCCAAACGCCUCACCGGAUGACCAUGUCGUGGGUGAAGAAGUUUGCAAUGGAUCAACCUUGAAGACACAUAGAAUGACCAUGUCGUGGGUGAAGAAGUUUGCAAUGGAUCAACCUUGAAGACACUCGGAACAUUUACUUCGAGUGAAGACUCUUGCGGCACAAUUGCCACUGCCUCGACCUCGCCGAUUGUUGACCUCGCUGGCUUGACAGCGUCCUUUGUGAUUCUGAACAUAGGUGCUACUCUCCUGGAAACCGCCGACUCAGGUCCUACUCUCCUGGACGCCGCCGACUCAGACCAGGACCAGUAUUCUGAACCUCAUACCAUUAAGGGCAUAUCUGUAUUCUAAGGAAAAUUAGUACACCUGUUGCAGGUUAUUCCUUUGAAUGAUCUAAGAAAUAUAUCUGGAUUAGGGAAGCAUGAAGCACAAGCAAUCACCUCAGAUAUCGAAUCUCGAGCAUACAGAUAUAAGCUUAUAAAAUCCUUUAGUACUGAUUUGGCUGCUGCUCCUAACAAAGCAUCAUUCCUCCAAAAUCUCUGUCAAGAGUUACAGUUUGAUCCUGAACUUGCUAGCAAGAUGCAUAAAGAAACCAAGCUGACACUUGUUUUUUGUAUUGCAUCAUUAAUUUUACAGCAUAGUUCUAUGUUAGCUCAAAAUUUGAUCUUGCUCCUGCUAGCAAGAUGUGUACCAUAUUAGCUACAGUUUGAAGGAUACAAUCCUUUGUUUCAAGACUGAUGGUUAAACAUUCCUCCAGUGUGAAAGUUAUUAUUUUCUGUUCAAAUUUCUUCGUUACAUUCCUUCGGUGUGAAAGUUAUUAGUUUCAGUUUGAAGGAUAUAAUUUUAACUAUAUGUAUUUGGCUAUCAAACAGCUUUUCUGCUAUCCGAUUUUGUUUUUGCAAAAGUUGCUUCUGUUCUAUAUAGGUGUAUAGUUUUCAUGCUAACUGGAAAGUACCAAAGUACCAAAGUUGUCUAUCCUAGCUGCACCAAACUACAUUUUUCUUGUUUUAUUAAUAUGAGAUAUAUAAGAAAGUGCAGCGGGAAUCGCUUGUACUCAUGCUUGAGGAUAUUUGGCUUAGGCUCCUGGACUGCCUCAUGGCCACAGUGCAGAUGGGACACUUGUGGUUAUCUUCAUGUGUCAUUGGUGGUCAGAGAAACAAAACAAAGCUGGAGUGGAAGGUUGAAACAAAACAAAGGGUCUAGGACUAGGAGUUUCAAUACGUUGUUAAAAAUUGUGCCAAACAUUAAGGUUGAUUUCAGUUCCUUUGCAUAUGUGUUCAUCCUUCUAGCAUAAGAAAAAUAUGGUGCUUUGCUUGAAAAAUUUGUGGCUUAGUUCUGGAAGGCAUUAAGUUUCCAGACAUGCUGGUAUUGAUCAAUCCAUCCCUCUGAAAACAUGACUCCCUCUUUCACAUGCUUCCUAUAAGCUAUGCACAUGCCAUCUCGCCAAGCACUGAUAACAUGUUUCAUUUAAGAGAUCAUCUGAGAUUUGCAUAAUUGUUUUGAGAAUGGGCAGGUAGCAUCAACACCGGCCUCGAUCAGUGUCGGGGCAAUGGUGAACCGACAAAGAAGGCAGCUCGGGUAGGGUGGCGCAGGACAUCGACACUGGCCACGACCAACAUCAGAGGAUGGGUCGUUGGGACAGAAGGAGGAAGACAAAGAGGAUGAAGAAGACAUGGGUCGUUGGGACGGAAGGAGGAAGACAAAGAGGAUGAAGAAGACGGCGAUCACAAUGUUUUAUCACCGAUAAAAAACAGACGACCGAUGCAUAGUUGCUCUCAUACUAUCUGCUAAAGAAAUUGAUAAGAGGCGAAAUAUAUUCGAAGGACUUCACACAUGUC